rnacentral:tRNA from 1 species
ACAGCGGUGGUUCAGUGAUAGAAUUCUCACCUUUCAUGUGGGAGACCAAGGUCCAAUUCCCAGCCAGUGUA